ACUCCUACGGGAGGCAGCAGUGGGGAAUAUUGCACAAUGGGCGCAAGCCUGAUGCGGAGACGCCGCGUGGGGGAUGAAGGCCUUCGGGUUGUAAACUCCUUUCGCUAGGGACGAAGCUUUGUGUGACGGUACCUAGAUAAGAAGCACCGGCUAACUUCGGGCAGCGGCCGCGGUAAU
rnacentral:rRNA from 1 species